AGCCGUGCUUCUUCUGCCGGUACCGUCAUUAGCACAUCGUAUUAAGACAUACCGUUUCSUUCCSGCUGAAGAGCUUUACAACCCGAAGGSCUUCUUCACUCACGCGGAAUGGCUGAAUCAGGGUUGCCCCCAUUGUCCAAAAUUCCCCACUGCUGCCUCCCGUAGGAGUCUGGACCGUGUCUCAGUUCCAGUGUGGCGGAUCAUCCUCUCAGACCCGCUACUGAUCGUCGCCUUGGUAGGCCAUUACCCCACCAACAAGCUAAUCAGACGUCGGCCGCUCGAAUAACGUGAGGUCUUGCGAUCCCCCACUUUCCCCCUCAGGGCGUAUGCGGUAUUAGCACAGCUUUCGCUGCGUUAUCCCCCAUUACUCGGUACGUUCCGACGCGUUACUCACCCGUUCGCCACUCGCCACCAGGGGCAAGCUCCCGUGCUGCCGUUCGACUUGCAUGUGUAAAGCAUUCCGCCAGCGUUCAAUCUGAGCCAUGAUCAAACUCUAAUCACUAGUGAAUUCGCGGCCGCCUGCAGGUCGACCAUAUGGGAGAGCUCCCAACGCGUUGGAUGCAUAGCUUGAGUAUUCUAUAGUGUCACCUAAAUAGCUUGGCGUAUCA
rnacentral:rRNA from 1 species